AGUGGCGGACGGGUGAGUAACGCGUGAGAAUCUGCCCUUUGGAUGGGGAUAACGACUGGAAACGGUCGCUAAUACCCAAUAUGCCGAGAGGUGAAACUUAUAUGGCCAGAGGAUGAGCUCGCGUCUGAUUAGCUAGUUGGAGUGGUAACGGCACACCAAGGCGACGAUCAGUAGCUGGUCUGAGAGGAUGAUCAGCCACACUGGGACUGAGACACGGCCCAGACUCCUACGGGAGGCAGCAGUGGGGAAUUUUCCGCAAUGGGCGAAAGCCUGACGGAGCAAGACCGCGUGAGGGAGGAAGGCCUACUGGUUGUAAACCUCUUUUGAUAGGGAAGAAGAAAGUGACGAUACCUAUCGAAUCAGCAUCGGCUAACUCCGUGCCAGCAGCCGCGGUAAUACGGAGGAUGCAAGCGUUAUCCGGAAUUAUUGGGCGUAAAGCGUCCGUAGGUGGUUAUUCAAGUCAGCUGUCAAAGGAUGGAGCUUAACUCCAUAAAGGCGGUUGAAACUGUGUAGCUAGAGUGCGAUAGGGGCAAGGGGAAUUCCCAGUGUAGCGGUGAAAUGCGUAGAUAUUGGGAAGAACAUCGGUGGCGAAAGCGCCUUGCUGGGUCUGCACUGACACUGAGGGACGAAAGCUAGGGGAGCGAAAGGGAUUAGAUACCCCUGUAAUCUUAGCUGUAAACGAUGGACACUAGGUGUUG
rnacentral:rRNA from 1 species